GAUCUUUUAAUCUCAACCAAAAAAAAAAAAAAAAGCAAAGGGCCAGGUGAUGGAAGAUGAUGGAAGAGAUAGGGUAAUUGGUUAGCCACAGAGUGAGGCUGGGGAGCUGUGAUUCCUUCUGUGGCAGGAGAAGAGCAUCUUGAACAGCAUCUCCUCUCACAAGUCUUCUUUUGUACAGCAGGAGAGGAGGAGGGGAUGCCUCCCUCUUGCACAUUCUUACAUCCAGCUACGGAGGCACAUUCACCAGCAACUGGUGCUUCUGGUGUACUGCAAAAUUCCCGGUCAGCAAAAGUCUUUCCAAGGGUUUUAGUGGACUUGGGAAACUAAGGCUGGAGUCUCACUGCUGAGGAGCUCAUGCUGAAAAACUAUUCAUGGUGUUAAGUGAAAUAAGUAAUUACUAAGUUAUGUUACCCAAGAAAUAACAUUCAAAGGAACCAGCAUCCAUUUCUAGCACUGAGCAUGAAGAAUGUUUCACUGAAACAUCGGGUUUAAAUUUACAUAUCAUUUUUACGUCCUUUUUUUUUUUUUUUUUCUCAAGACUUUCUGGAAGUAAGAUGGAAAAUGUGCACUUUGUUCCUAAGGGCAUUGGAAAUAGUAGGGACAGAAAAAAGCACUGGCUGAAGAGACAUCUGGAGAAGAGCAUUACAAAAUGUGGUGUGAAGAGACAAAUUAACAAAUGUCUUACAAGGUAGUCCUGUAGUUCUUGAAACUAUCCUAAUGAAUAGUUUUAACCAUCUUGAGAUGUUAAAAAAUUUCACGUCAAAUAAGACACCUUACUCUCCUAUUAUAUCAAAUAGAUAGAACCAAAUACCUCUAAUGAUGCUUCUUUGAACUACAGAUGGGUUGAUAUACUUAGAUUUGUUCUCCUUAAUUGCCCAUGAAGGAAGCCAAAUACAACCUGCUGUCACUAUGAAACCCUGGGCAACAGCUGAACCAUCACAGAUUUUUUAAAGCAUUUACAACUUUUCACAAACUUGAAGAUGUUCCCCUCCAAAACAUGCUGAUUGUUGGGCAUGAGCUCUUAGUUACAAGGAGUUUUGCAGAGGAGCUCUUGAGUAGUCAAGUAAUUUGUGGCACUGAAUGCACACAAUUGCUGCAUGGCAAGUGUGCAUGUAGGAAGUGUGAGAACAACUUUUGUAACAAAAGUGAAGGACAUCUAAUACAGUGGGGAAGGGCUUAUUUUGUAUUUUAAGGGACCUACAGCUGGGAGAACUUGGCAGAUUGGUGUUGGAGGGUCGCGCUUACAGCUCUGUCUGUGAGAGGAGCAGACCUCCUACAAUAAAAUAGUUUUCUGUUUCAAGCCUCGUGGAGUUGUAGGCACCUUUUGAAGAAAGACACUGAUGGAGCCACUUGUCAGUUCAGUGGGAGCCUCUCUAGAGUGCAAUAUCUGCACGUGUCAAUCAGCUCUAGCAAUUCCACCUGCCUAGGCCUUAUUGGUCUCUAGUAGGAUGAAAGCAUCUAUUGGAAAUAUCGCUCUGGACUGGUUGUACCAAGAGUGUGAAACUUUCCAGAAAUCCAUGUGCCUAUGGACCAUGAGGUAUUUCCUCUGAUAUCAGACUCAGAUGCAUCCAAAGAGAACUGUGGCUCAGUGGUGGGCAGGCUGCGGUGGGGAGCACCAAGGCCCCAUGAUGCAGCAAUCUCCAUCUCCACCUGAAAAAUCCUUGGGUGGAGCUGUACUUGAACUGCUCUGAGACGCUGCUUUUGGAAGACCCUGGCUUGCUUGAACCCUACAGUGAAGGAGAAGACUGAGGAGAUACACUCUGGUCCCUGCUCUUGGCCAGGUUGUUGCUGUCACCUCUCUUGGGCCCUGGCCUCUCCCAGCCAGGCACAUCACACUCUGGAGAGGACAAACACCCUGAGGGUGAUGGACUGAAUGACAUCCUCAUCUUCCAGCUCCUUUAGCUUGUCACUUUGCCUCUGCUAGGUGUGAGUAUCACCAGGGAUGGGCCUAGAAAGCUUUUCCUAGCAGCACAGAGAAAUGUUUGUCCAGCAGAAUGCCCCAUCUGCCUAUUUACAAGUCCUGAAUGCCAUUCAUAUUCAGUCCUGUGCUUGUCUCAGGGCCAUAUCCUUCACAUACUGAUAGUUUUAUUACAUUCCUCUGAACUGAGUAGUACAGAGAGCGACAUAAAAAUGUGAGGGAAAGGAAAACAACAGGUUAAAAAUAUGAAUACCGAAGAAUUUUGAUGGGGGAACUGAACCCUAUGGAUGUUUAUUCCUCUUACUGUGGGCUCUGGUCAGAGCAGCUGACCAAUUGUGCACGUGGGUUUCUUUGGGACUCAGCUAGCACCUCCGCACCCUAAAUCAUCGUUCCAUGGCAGACCAGCCAAAUUGCCCAAACUAACCCUGAGCACGUUUGGAGGAGUGAAUCAGUUGAUAUGACUUGAUUAUGACUGGGUAGAUUACUCUGCCUUUUUAUUAUUAUUAAUAUUUUUCUUCUUGAACUCUUUGUUUUUAAUACUAAACCAGUUUGCUGGUAUCCUGUGAUGACACAACCCUCUCUGUUGACUUUUUCUCUUAAUUAUACAGGGAUUACUGUAGAAUUAAAGGUGCAUUUAUAAGGCUUUUAGAAGGAGCCUACUCCCUGUCACUGGCCCUGGAGAUGAACCAAUACAGUGACUUUUAUCUCCUUCCCAACCAAUGCAACAAGCCUCUUUUCUCUUGAGCUUCUAAACCUGCCCAUAAAAUAACCCCCUGACCCCCCUCCUCCCUCCCUACACUUCUUCCUCCCGGUUUUCUUCCUGUAAUAGGU